UGGAUUAAAUGGAUUCACCGGAUGAAAUGGUAACCAAAUGGUAACCACUGGAUUCAUUGGAUGAAAUGGUAACCAAAAGUACACAGCAUGUGGAGACUGCUGAUUUUUAACCAGCCCGAUGCUGUGAUCAUGAAACACUAUGUACCUUAGCAACUAAGGCUUUAAGUGUCUAGCAAGCAGAGCACACAUAAUAUGUAAAUUUGGGAUGCUUGCUGUUCCCACCAAAGUCUCAAGUCCAGGGUACAAACAGUUAAGCUUCUGUAAAGUAAAAUCAUAUUGACUUAUGA